CAUAUGUGUGAGACAACGACUUUCUGGACUUGGAUUCUACCAGCAAAGAGGAAGGCUAGGGGGAAAGCAAAGGGCAUCAGAACCCUAUCGAGCAGAAACAAAAACAUAGAAACAAGAACAGCCAGGUGAAAUGUUUGAGAAUUUGCAGAAUGGAAGGUUAGCAUGGCACGAGUGGCUGGCUGCAGAUUAGGUUAUAUGUCGAAUAAUUUGUUCAUGGUUUAUGUCGUUGUCUGUUAGCAAUUCAUGUUAGGAAAAAGAACACAGACGUCUGUCAUUUCACUAUCUCUUCCAAGAGUACAUAAGCUUAUUCUACCAUUAAUUCCAUGAGAGUGAGAUGAAGGAUUUAGCUUGCAAGUAGCAAAUUUAACCUUUUUUUCCUUAUAGGGCAAGUGAUCAAAUUUAGCGAAAGUUAUAACUUCAUUUCUUUGUCAUGUUUCAUGUAUAAGGAAAAGUAACUUUAAUUUCCUCAUUUAUGUUUAAUUAUUAUUAUUAUU